UGCUCCUGGGGGCAGGCCCCUGUUGAAUGACCUCCCAGGAUGAAGCGCAGAUCCCACCCCCUUAGUCCCCAGAACUCCUCACCUUGCAGCCCACUCCUCACACCAGGUCCUCUUCCCUGCAGGUUUCUGCUGGUGGCCCAGCCCUGGCUGGGAUUCCUCACUCCCACGCCUCAAGCCUGAGAAUCCUUCCAGAAACACAAGGCUGGACCUAUACCUGCCAGGUGGCCGUGGCCUCGGUGUGGGAGCAACAUGGGGAGACCUGGGUCCCUGAGUGGCCAUGACCAUCAACCUGGAGCAAUCAGCUCAGGACUGUUAUGUGGGAGCAACAAUCAUCCAGCUCCUUCAAGCUGCAGCAUCCAGGGGUCUCUUCAUUCCAUUAUGGAUAUAGCCUAAGAAAUGGUGACAGUAAAGGGUCUCAUACAACACGUCCCAUUUUUAUUAAUUUUAAUAAAUAGGGGAAAUUGAAUAU